rnacentral:lncRNA from 1 species
UGUGUCUACAAAAAUGUCAGGAACAGCAACUAGAACAGCUGAACUUAAUUUGGGGUUAAUCAGAGGCACUUUAAUUGGUGACAGGUGUGUGCUGACUCCAAUUUAACCUGAGUUUGAAAAUCUGAACACAGACACAUCCCCAGUUAUUAAAGGGUGUGCACACUUAUGCAACCACAUGAUCUCAGUUGUUUAUUUUUACUUCACCUCCCUGAAAGAUUUCUGGGUUUUUUUUUUUCAAUUGUGUUGUACAGGUUAUAGGUCACACUAAAGGUGGAAGAAGUUGGGAAAUUAUUUAUUUUGAUUAAUUUUUUUUACAUGACAAAAACCUGGCAGUUGAACAGGGGUGUGUGGACUUUUUAUAUCCACUGUAUAUAUGCAACAAAUUAACACAAAAUAAAAGAAAGACAAUGUUGCUGUUUGUCCAACUCAGCAGCUUAUCUAUGCCCCGUCUUUUUACAAUAUUAAUUCAUGAAUGUGUUUUUUCAAUGUGUAACAGUAUGACAGCCUGCUGCUGCUGCUUCGUGUCUCCUUCCUUAUAAGACAUGUGGCAACUACCACCUCGAGCGUUCGCAGUUUUCACAAAAUCAACAUUUAAUAAAUCUAUAUGGUUAUUGUCAAUGUCGGUAUGUUACGACAGCCCUAAGAUUAGAUGAAAGUCAAGGGAAUUUUAGGCACUGAUAUUUUUCUUUAAAACCUACAGUAUUUUUUCAUUUUGUUAAUCCAAAGGGGAGGACUCCUUCAUCUGUCGGUGUUAUGUCUCAGUUUCUCUCAGAGGUUUGACUUUGGCUUCCUUCAGCAGUAUGAACCUAAACCUAACCUCUUAUGAUCUUCUCCUUAAAAACAGGUCUUCAGUUUGCUGAAAUAAAAACAUCAUGAUGCAGAUUAGUCCAACGUCAAGCUUUUUCAUGUCUGUCCUCAAGAGGGGAAGAAAACUACUUUGAAAAUGUUUGUUGAAUAAAGGUCAAAUUCAUCAUUUCUGCUGCAUUCGGGGAAGUCAGGAAAUCUAAACUCUGAUCAUCCUCAGUGACUCAGCAUCAGUCAGAUUUGAGUCUCAGUGUAAAUGUUUGAUCUUGAACAGAUUGUUAGCUGACCUUCUUCCAAACAUGUGUUUAAGGAAUCCUCCUCAGAUUACCACCAGAGCUGGAGGUCAUUAUGAUGGACUGUGUCACUCCUGCUUUUGCUCUCUAUACAGACAGUUUUCCUGCAGGUGCCAAAGCCUGGAGGCAGACCCUGGAAAUCACCCGAUUAGUCAAUACUACUCAGACUGAAAGGUAAGCCCUGUCCUUUUACUAUCAGUUUACUGCUUCACCACUAGAGGGCGGCACAUGACUGCCAGUGAAGAUAAAUUAUUUCCAUUGAAGGUGCAUCAUUUCAGAUAGGUUCUCCGUGUACCCUUGACUCUCAUCUCCUCUAUUUAUCAGGUUACCUGUAAAUACAGGUAGGACAACUGAGGGUCAUUCUGGCCUGAGCUCUGUCUCUCAGGCUGCAGGAGGCAGUCCUGCCUGUCUCACUGCUGGAGUGCUGGAGAUUUUUGUGCUGUAAAAAGCCUGAGAGAAGACUGUGGAAACCAACUCAUGUUGGUACACGUUCAUAAUUUUUAUAUGAAUUACAAUUAAGGAAGAUUCAACAGUCACGCGCCCUGUGCCUGCAACAUCCUGUCGGAGCUACGGUUUCACUUUCAGCGAGUAUUGGCGCUGGUUGUUGCUUCUUCAUCUGCGGGUCCAGCUGAAGGUAAAGUAACGGCUGUAAAUAUUCUUAUUUUCCCGUAUUCUCUAUGAAAACGUGUUUAAUGUAGACAAAGUGCAAACAUCGAACCUGACAACCGCCAGGAGGUGAUCUGUAAGGAAUUUCCAGGAAACAGGGUAGAGAGACAAGCGUCAGUGUUGUGAAUGGUGUUAAUGAAUCACAGAAUAAGCUGUCAUUCAUUCAUAUCACUUCAUUGGGACGUACGUGAUCUAAUCAGAGACUGGUGUGUGGUUUCAAUUUAAUGUUCUAACGUUUUCUGUAAAGGCUCUGUAUGACUGUAUUGCGGUUAUUUUUGGCCUUUAUUUACGAUCCUUGAGCACUGAAACCGAAAUUUCUACCAAAGAUUUUAAAUUUAAAAAGAAACACAUAUGUCUUACAUUCAGUAUCAACUCUUAUACUGAGUCACAUUGAUGAUUUAAACUAACGCUUAAGUAUGGGAGGCGUGUUUAUGUGUCGAUCUGGUGAGUUUUUCAUAUAUUGAAAAAUUCUGAUGUAUGCAUUUUACUGUAAUGAUGAAAUUAAAAGUUUAUUUCCAUGGCUUUAAAUACCCCUUCUUGCUAUAAAUGUUUUUAUUAUUAUUAUUAUUAUUAUUAUUAUUAUUAUUAUUAUUAUUAUUAUUAAUGCAGAGAAAAGUAGAAAUCUAAUCUUCAUACAGUGGAUAUAAAAAGUCUACACAACCCUGUUCAACUACCAGGUUUUAGUGAUGUAAGAAAAUGACAGCAAGAUAAAUAUAAUAACUUUUUCCACCUUUAAUGUGACCUAUAACCUGUACAAUGCAAUUGAAAAACAAACUGAAACCUUUAAGGAAAAAUGAAAAAUACAAAAGUUUAAAUAACCUGGUUGCAUAAAUAUGCACACCCUUAAACUAAUACUUUGUUGCAGCACCUUUGGCUUUUAUUACAGCACUCAGUCUUUUUGGGUAGGAGUCUAUCAGCGUGGCACAUCUUGAUGUGGCAAUAUUUGCCCACUCUUCUUUGCAAAACCGCUCAAAAUCUGACAGAUUGACACAUCUCCUAUGCACAGCCCUUUUCAGAUCACCCCACAAUCUUAUUCCGGUGAAACCAUUCUUUUGUUGAUUUAGAUGUGUGCUUUGGGUCAUUGUCAUGCUGAAAGAUGAAGUUCCUUUUCUUCUUCAGCUUUCUAGCAGAAGGCCGAAGGUUUUGUGCCAACACUGACUGGUAUUUGGAACUGUUCAUAAUUCCCUCCACCCUGACUAAGGCACCAGUUCCAGCAUGAUGCUGCCACCACCAUGCUUCACUGUGGGUAUGGUGUUCUUUUGGUGAUGAGCAGUGUUGAUUUUGCGCCAAAUAUACACUUGCAAUGAUGCCCAAAAAGUUCAACUUUGGUUUCAUCAGACCAUAACACAUUUUCCCACAUGCGUUUGGGAGAUUUCAGAUGUCUUUUUGCAAAAUUAAGCCGGGCUUUGGUGUUUUUCUUUGUAAGAUAAGGUUUCCGUCUUGCCACCCUACCCCAUAGCCCAGACAUAUGAAGACAGCAGGAGAUUGUUGUCUCAUGUACUACACAGCCAGUACUUGCCAGAAAUUCCUGCAGCUCCUUCAGUGUUGCUGUCGGCCUCUUGGUAGCCUCCCUGACCAGUUUUCUUCUUGUCUUAUCAUCAAUUUUGGACGGACGUCCUGUUCAUGGUAAUGUCACCGUUGUGCCAUAUUUUCUCCACUUGAUGAUGACGGUCUUUACUGUGUUUCAUGGUGUAUUUAAUUCCUUGGAAAUUCUUUUGUAGCCUCACCUGACUGAUAUCUUUGAAUAAUGAGAUCCCUCUGAUGCUUUGGAAGCUCUCUGUGGACCAUGGCUUGUGCUGGAAGAUGUGGCUACAAAAAUGUCAGCAACUAGAACAGCUGAACUUUAUUUGGGGUUGAUCAGAGGCACUUUAAUUGGUGACAGGUGUGUGCUGACUCCAAUUUAACCUGAGUUUGAAUGUUAUUGGUUAAAUCUGAACACAGCCACAUCCCCAGUUAUUAAAGGGUGUGCACACUUAUGCAACCACAUGAUCUCGGUUGUUAAUUUUUACUUCACCUCCCUGAAAGAUUUCUGUUUGUUUUUCAAUUGUGUUGUACAGGUUAUAGGUCACAUUAAAGGUGGAAGAAGUUGUUAAAUUAUUUAUUUUGAUUAAUUUUUUUUACAUGACAAAAACCUGGCAGUUAAACAGGGGUGUGUAGACUUUUUAUAUCCACUGUACUUUAUAUUGUGGUGUCAGAUGUAAUGACAGGGAUGAUUCCAGAUGAUAACUUGUAUUACUGAAAUAGUCUAAACUAAUCUGUGACUGAUUGUUUAACAUUAAAGCUGCCCAAUCUACUCUUGUUAUUUUAGUUUUAGUUUUACAGACAGGUAGGGGUUUAACUUCUCUUACUGGCUCUUUUGUACAAUGGCCCUGAAGUUCAGCUGUACAAACAUAAGAUCAAAUGCAAAAAUGUCUCUUGAGAACAUUUUUCAAACCCAAACAAAUCACUGGACAGAAAGAGUAUUUGUAAGAAAUUAAUCCACCACACUAAACAUUUUGUACCAAACAUUUUUCGAAGUGGCAUCAAGAUUAAAAGAGCUCAAAAUCAUUCACAGCAAUGACAGUUUACAUUUGUAUGUCCCUAAAUCAGUGGUUCUCAAGUCCAGUCCUUGAGGCCCACUGUCCUGCAUGUUUUGGAUGUUUCCCUGCUCCAACACACCUGAUUCAAAUGAUCAGCUCGUUAUCAAGCCAUUACAGAGCUUGAUAACGAGCUGAUCAUUUGAAUCAGGUGUGUUUACUGGUUUUCUGACACUGACUGGUUCUCUCUGGUUAUUAACUAAAGUUUGUUGCACUGACUGGAUCUUUGGAUUUGGUUCUCUGGCACUGACUGGUUUUCUGUCACUGACUGGUUCUCUGCCAUUCUCUCCAAGGGAGGAUAUGAGCAGUUUCCCCUCUCAGCACAUGAUUGGGGACAGUUUCUUAAAGCUGACAGGUGAGAUUCCUUCCAGAAAGAACUUAAUGUUGUUUCGGCAGUUAUCUGUGGACUCUGGCUUUACCUGAGUUGAAACUGUCUCUCUGGGCUGUACCUUAGAGUUCGGUGUCAGUGUUGUUGACUGUGAAAAGAUUAGUGUCAGGUUUUUUUUUUUUUUUUUGUGCGUGUGUGCGUGUGUGUGUCAGCAGAAGGUUUAUUGUCAUGUGAGUUUUAGUGUGUGAACCAGUCUGUUGGCUGAGGUUAACAAGUCUGGGGGGUUGUGGCCGUCCUCACCUGUUAACACCUUGAGCAGAA